rnacentral:lncRNA from 1 species
UGAAAUAUAAUGCAUAAUUUCAUUGGUUGGAAUGAGAUUGACGUUGGGUAUAUGCGAAUUCUAAGCAUCAAGGGAAAAUGAUGACGUUUCCUGAGAGAGAAUGACUGGAGCAUCGCUUAAAACACAAUAAUCUCUCUCUUGUCUCUGUGAAAAGAUUGUCUUUCCAGAGAGACAAUUUUUCGUCUCUGCGGGGAGACUGAGACCAGCAUAGACCCCCAGGUUACAUACUAUAUCUCAUAAACAAAAUAAAUUAUAUGAAGAAAACCUAACCUAAGAAAUUAAAAUAAAGACCAAAUUUGUGCCAGAUGUUCUCAAUCGUCAAUGAAGUUCUUCCUUAUGUUUUUGUAAUACAAUGACUUAACAUUAUCGCCUUGAUGCUCCUGAUUUUAAGCAUAAUUUCCAAGCAUUAUUGGUGGUGGAGGGAUCCGUUUUUAUGACGAUCUGCAGCCUAGAAUCUCUACUAUUGAAAAUUGCCAAGGCUUCUGCUAUCCUUCCUUUAUCCAGGUCUUCCUGCUUUUGUAAAGAUCUGGCUUCAUCCCAUUUAAGCGUCAAAUCACUAAUGAGGGCCCUCUGCGCUAAGGUCGUGGUGGAGUGGAUUUCUCAACAUCUCUCUUAUGUUCCUCUAAACAAUUCUGUAGCAACCUAUUCAUAUAGCCUUUAAAUUUAAAAUUUUGGUCUAAAUCGUUGUCUACAAACGGUAUCUCAUACACUCCCGCUAAUGAGCUCCCAAUAGGAACAUCUACUGUCUGGCAGUAGAAUUUCUCCCAAAUUUGAAAUAUGAUUUGUGUAUAAUCAAAUGGCAAAAGUCCCUAAUUUGUUUUGGGUUACAUUGAUCUUCCGGCAAGUUUUCUAACAAGAACCUGUAAAGGAAUAAGCAUGCUGGUUCAAGUCUAACUGAAGGAUA